UACGAAGGGGGCUAGCGUUGCUCGGAAUCACUGGGCGUAAAGCGCACGUAGGCGGAUUCUUAAGUCAGGGGUGAAAUCCUGGAGCUCAACUCCAGAACUGCCUUUGAUACUGAGGGUCUUGAGUUCGGGAGAGGUGAGUGGAACUGCGAGUGUAGAGGUGAAAUUCGUAGAUAUUCGCAAGAACACCAGUGGCGAAGGCGGCUCACUGGCCCGAUACUGACGCUGAGGUGCGAAAGCGUGGGGAGCAAACAGGG
rnacentral:rRNA from 1 species